GACGAACGCUGGCGGCGUGCUUAACACAUGCAAGUCGAACGGAAAGGCCCUGCUUUUGUGGGGUGCUCGAGUGGCGAACGGGUGAGUAACACGUGAGUAACCUGCCCUUGACUUUGGGAUAACAUCAGGAAACUGGGGCUAAUACCGGAUAGGAGCUCCUGCAGCAUGGUGGGGGUUGGAAAGUUUCGGCGGUUGUGGCUGGAAUCGCGGCUUAUCAGCUUGUUGGUGGGGUAGUGGCUUACAAAGGCUUUGACGGGUAGCCGGCCUGAGCGGGUGAACGGGCUCAAUGCGCCUGAGAGACGGACCAGUCGCCUACGGGACGCAGCAGUGGGGAAUAUUGCACAAUGGGCGGAAGCCUGUGGCGGCAAUCCCCCGUUCGGGAUGAUGGCCUUCGGGUUAAGAACCGCUUUCGCCGUUGACGAAGCGGGAGUGACGGUAAUGAGUAAAGAAGCACCGGCUAACUACGUG
rnacentral:rRNA from 1 species